rnacentral:lncRNA from 1 species
GGGUCCUUUCGGGUCCGGGUCUUUCGGGUCUAAGAGUUUAGGACCCGAUAGGGUAAUUUCAAAUUUUCGGUUCCGGGUCGGUUCGGGUCGUGCCGGGUCCGGGUCGGGUCGGGUCUUAGAUAGUUAGACCCAUUCGGGUAAUUAGAAUUUAUCGGUUCGGAUUCGGUUCGGUUUCGGGUCGGGUUCGGUUCGGGUUCGAUCUAAAAAAGACCUAAAAAUACAAAAAAAUAUCUGAAAAUAUUUAUAUAUCCGAAAAUAUUCAAAAUUUUAUUCAAAAUUUGUGUUUUUAUUAUAUUAAAAUAUGUAUAUAUACUAAACUAUGCG